rnacentral:rRNA from 1 species
UACGGAGGGGGCGAGCGUUAUUCGGAAUUAUUGGGCGUAAAGGGCGCGUAGGCGGCUUGACAAGUCAAAGGUGAAAUCCCUCGGCUCAACUGAGGAACUGCCUUUGAAACUGUCUGGCUUGAGGCCGGGAGGGGGUAGCGGAAUUCCCAGUGUAGCGGUGAAAUGCGUAGAUAUUGGGAGGAACACCAGUGGCGAAGGCGGCUCACUGGCCCGGUACUGACGCUGAGGUGCGAAAGCGUGGGGAGCAAACAGG